UAUUUGUUGAGAUUGUGUUCUUGCAGUAUUGUGAUAAUUCUAAAGUGUGCGAUUUAGAGUGCAAUAAUUGUGUGAACUGCUCAAGAGUUGGCUGUAUUUCAGUAUUACCAUACAAGGCCCACUUUCUUUUAUGCAAGGGAAAGGAACCCAAGGGCAAAGCAACAGCCAUUAAAGGGAGUACAUUUAAUGUCCGAUAGGUGGAGAAAAUGCUGAAGGACGUCCACUACUAAAAAGAAGCAGAAGUGAAGAGAUACAAAGCUUCAGCUACAGUCUGUUUAUUGCCUACAGUGAGACCUCCACAUUUCUGCACUUGUGAUCAUGCAAACAUCCAGUGUAGAGCACUUCACCUGCCCGGCAUGUACACCCAACAAUGCUCGCUCUUUGUGCAGAUGGCAACAGAAAAACCUACAGAUUCCGUCAGUCAAAAGAAAGGAGCUUCAAGCAGCCACAAACGGAGAGUUGUUUUGAACAGAUAUUGCUUGCAAGUAUUGGCCAUACCUUGAGAAGGUGUCAGUCUCCAUGUUGGAACUCAGACCUUUACUGCAGAUGAGACCUUUCCUUUCUGUCAUGCAUGCCAAGGCUCAUUCAACCAAGUGUCAGGUGUCACACAUUUGUUAGAUAAUCUGACAAAAAUCAGGAAGGUGCUGGUACAACUGCAGUUGUGGAGGUCGAAAUGGUCAACAGCAACCUGUCUUGUUGUGGCCUCACAACCAAGUAUCUGCCAGGAAUGACAUGCUAACUGUCCAUGCUAUUGGGUGGAACCAACGGAAGCAAGAAGGCCUUCAGCAUUAUCCAGCAGAUACAUCAAGAAAGGCUCAGAGACGGGAAGAUUUGAGCAGUGAACGGGGGUGUCCUGAGAACAUUGUGACAUGUGUACAAGAUGUCAGACAAUAGGCUACUGAUGGUACCAGAUGUGAUGACCAACAUAACCUUCAGAAAUGAAUUGAACAAAUGUUUCUUAGUCUUCAUCGAAAAGCCAGCCUUUAUAAUCACACUGAAUCCAGCAACACCCUCACCAAGAAGAUUUUUUUUGAUGAAUACAUGUCAAAAGUGCACCUUCAAGAAACAAAGAUCACUGUGAUGAGGGAGAUGAGACACUACUGCACCGCACCUAUCUCAGAAGCCUGGCUAGGAACAUCGGGAAAAUUAUAUCAGAAAUGUCUUCAUGCAAAAACAGUGGCAGUUUAAGUGAAGAGUGUCAUCGCUGGCUACUGUGUCUUCUUCAGAAAAGGCUUGCAGAUGUAGAGAAGAAGUUCCAAGUUUGCUCAAGUUACAGCCAGGCUUUAGGACGGUGUUCUUCACUCUCAACCCUGGAGAGCCGGUGUCCUGCAGAGUUUAGCUCCAACCUUAAUCAAACACACCUGAGAGCUAAUCAAUGUCUUCAUGAUCUCUAGAAAAUCACAGGUAUGCGUGUUUGAUUAAGGUUGGAGCUAAGCUCUGCAGGACAGCGGCUCUCCAGGAUUGGGAGUGAAGAACACUGCUUUAGGACCAAAUGCUGUUUCUCUGCUGGAGGAUGAGCCCGAGGAGAUACUGGAGGACCAUGAAGAGCUGGAUUAUGAGAGUUCAGAUGACAGUGAUUUUGGAACUCUGAACUGGUGUAUGCAUUUAGACUGUGUGUCACACUGAACUGCAGGUGUGUUUCAUGGAAAACAUAAAACUAUUUGGAAAUGUAAUGGAUGUCUGAUACAGUGCUUUUAUUUUGAACAACCGUUUCCUGCAGUGUGUAAGCAACAUUAGCCUCAUAGAUUGAUGGGAAACUACUGUUAAAUAAGUUUUUGUAUGAUAAUACAUAUCUCAGUUUACAAGCAGCAGGUUAGCUAUUAGCUUUCCCCUCCACCUCCGAUGUUUCACAGACUACUCCUACAGUCAACUGUGUUGCUACAACUUGCAAAUGCCACAAUCCUCUUGCAGUGGUUACUUCACCAAACUGUGCCCAUAUCAUCUUGUCAACAUAAUGACAUUUACUGUAGAAAAAUAUGUAACACAGGCAAAAUAGAUUUGCACAUGUUACUAUUAUUAUUACAUAGUUUUAUACUGUAUCAAGUUUUUUUCACAGUGAUUGUGGAUACUUUUGGAUUGAACUAACUGUAGCCUAUGUCAUUGGAUGAAAUACUUUCCAUAAAUGAUAUUUGAUAUCUUUGAUGCAUGAGUUAAUACUGUUGUUACCUUUUCAAUGAAAGGAAAUGUUUUACAAUGCCAUUUUCUUGAGGUAACUAUUAAACUGUUUCAUAUAUGUACCUGCAAAUUUGUUUGCUAAAGCGUUGUUUACUUUUCCCUGUUUUGAAAAUGAGAUGUAAAACUACUUUUUUUUAUUUAUGCCUUAAAAAUAUAUGAUACAGGGUAAAUAAUAAAACUUGUUAAUAGUUAGUAUACAGUUGUGUUGUAUUAUUUAUGGCAAUAGUUGUUAUAAU